rnacentral:rRNA from 1 species
GGGCCUGUGCAUGCGGUCGAGCGCGCCCUUCCGGGUGAGCGGGGGACGGGUUUACAACCCGUGCCAACUUCCUGGGAUCUAGUGAAUAGCCCCUGUAAACGGUGAGUAAUACCUUAUACGCCCUUCCGGGGAAAGAUUUAUCGGAUUUGGAUCGGCCCGCGUUACAUUAGAUAGUUGGUGGGGUAACGGCCUACCCACUCUACUAUCUAUUACUGGUUUUAGAUGAUGAUCAGCGCCCCUGGGACUGACACGCGGCCCAGACUCCUACUGGAGGCCGCUGUGGGAAAUCUUAGACCAUGGCCGCAAGCCUGAUCAAGCCAUGCCGCGUGAGUGAGUAACGCCCUAAGGUCAUAAAGCUCUUUCGCCCUGGAUGAUACUGACGAUGCCUGGGAAAGAAACCGCUGCUAACCCCGUGCCAACUUCCGCGGUAUGCCCGAGGGGGUGAGCGUUGUUCCGAAUUACUGGGCAUAUCGCGCGCGUGCGACGAUUGGAAAGUUGGGGGUGAAAUCCCGGGGCUCAACCCCGGAACCGCCUCCAGCACUAUCACUAUAGAGUUCCAGAGAUGUGAGUGGAACUCCCAGUGGAAACGUGACAUUCGUACAUAUUCCGAAUACCAACCUUGGCGAAGGUAGCUCACUGGCUCGAUACU